GAGUCGUGUCCUUCCAGCAGCUUCUCGGCAUGUUCCAGAUACUGAGCGAUCCUACGAACGACGGCCUCUUUUCGCGCUGGAUCCGGAUCGUCUGGAAAACAAGAAUUCACAGUUGCGAGGAGAAUCCCAAAUCAGGUCAUUGUCAGAAAGCACGGGCCAGACAUCCUCAUUUGGUGGUGAGGCGCAAACUUCGGCCGCCACGUCAAGAAGUGACUCAAUCUCCUCUUGAGACGUUUGCGAUGUGCACCUUCUGGCUGCAGACGUGACUAGAGGUUGCAAAGGCCUCCGCCGCCACUUCCGGCUUCCCCAUGUCAAUCCGUAGAUUGGUGCCCAGGUCCUGGGGCAAAGUGGGGGCCUCCCUGCCGGCCUCCUCCUCUGCCGGCUCACAGUCCGAGGCUCUCCGCUUGGGGAGGGGGAUGAGAGGAGGAGGUAGAGCGACGGAGUCGGGGGAGGGGUCCUGCGGCCUCGUGACAUCUCCGUCCUGAGGAGGACAAAACAAACUUCCGUUUAACAGGGAAACGUCACAACGUACCAAAGACGAGACAACCGAGAUGUCAAAUCGUUUCCCAGAAGCCAGUCGACGCUGGCGCCCACCUCUGCCAAAGCGUUGCGCUGUCGGAAACGCCGGGAAUUCCUCCUCUCUUCGGAACAGGUUCCUGUGGGUGUUGGCCAGCUCGGCGUGGAGCUUCUUCAGCUCGGAGUACCUCGUCCACACGACCACCUCUUUCACGUCCUCGGGGCAAGGCUUGGGCACAAACUAGAAAGUAAAAGGAUCCAAUCCAUGUUGAGAUUGAACAUGUCAUUUGCCUCAUUUAUGCGGGGUGGGGGAAGCUAGUCAUGAGUUUGGAUUUGCCAAGGAGGAUCAAGGCCACCUUCACGCCUAUUAAGAUAUGGACCAAUGAUUCCCCUUUGAUUGUGUCUGAAGGAAUUUCCAAAGCGAUUGUCAUGAAACGAUCUCAAGUUCUCAUUCACUGCGCUUAAUAUGCGACGUUUGGCAUUACAAAACUUAACUUUUGACUUUGAAAGAUGACAAGAAACUAAAAAAAAAAGGACCUAAUCAAAUUAAGACUGUCUUGGUGUAAAGUUAUGGCGUAACCACGAGUCAAUACAAAGUCGUUUGGAUGCUGAGCGUAA